UCAGCCUUGUCCUCAGGGAAGCUGGGGCA
rnacentral:piRNA from 1 species